UAUACCAACGGUAAUUUGAGCCAGAGAAAACCAAAAAACAAUAAAUGUGGAUUUUAGAAGGCAGCGCUUUGAAGCCGUCAAUUGAAAAAGUUAAAUAGCAAAAAUGUUCCACUUUUCGCCGAGACAAACAACAGUUGGCAAGAAAAUUUCAUGCAAGUGAUUUAUUGAAUUUUUUUAAUGGUGAAUUUCAUUAGAAAUUA